rnacentral:rRNA from 2 species
AAGUCGAACGAUGAACCACUUCGGUGGGGAUUAGUGGCGAACGGGUGAGUAACACGUGGGCAAUCUGCCCUGCACUCUGGGACAAGCCCUGGAAACGGGGUCUAAUACCGGAUACUGAUCCUCGCAGGCAUCUGCGAGGUUCGAAAGCUCCGGCGGUGCAGGAUGAGCCCGCGGCCUAUCAGCUAGUUGGUGAGGUAACGGCUCACCAAGGCGACGACGGGUAGCCGGCCUGAGAGGGCGACCGGCCACACUGGGACUGAGACACGGCCCAGACUCCUACGGGAGGCAGCAGUGGGGAAUAUUGCACAAUGGGCGAAAGCCUGAUGCAGCGACGCCGCGUGAGGGAUGACGGCCUUCGGGUUGUAAACCUCUUUCAGCAGGGAAGAAGCGAAAGUGACGGUACCUGCAGAAGAAGCGCCGGCUAACUACGUGCCAGCAGCCGCGGUAAUACGUAGGGCGCAAGCGUUGUCCGGAAUUAUUGGGCGUAAAGAGCUCGUAGGCGGCUUGUCACGUCGGUUGU